UCCGAUAUGGUGUAACGGCUAACAUUGCCGCCUUUCAACGUGGGAAUAGAACCAGUGCGCGGCAGCUCGGGGUUCGAUUCCCCGUAUCGGAG
rfam:Punctularia strigosozonata HHB-11173 SS5 unplaced genomic scaffold PTNSTscaffold_17, whole genome shotgun sequence.